rnacentral:tRNA from 1 species
UGGCCCUUGGUGUAACUGGCAACACCCCGGCCUUUGGAGCCGGUAUCGCGGGUUCGAACCCCGCAGGGCCUGCCA